rnacentral:rRNA from 1 species
AAUACUUAGGGAUCUACCUAUUAAUGGGGGACAACAUUUCGAAAGGAAUGCUAAUACCGCAUACGCCCUACGGGGGAAAGCAGGGGCUCUUCGGACCUUGCGUUAAUAGAUGAGCCUAAGUCGGAUUAGCUAGUUGGUGGGGUAAAGGCCUACCAAGGCGACGAUCUGUAGCGGGUCUGAGAGGAUGAUCCGCCACACUGGGACUGAGACACGGCCCAGACUCCUACGGGAGGCAGCAGUGGGGAAUAUUGGACAAUGGGGGGAACCCUGAUCCAGCCAUGCCGCGUGUGUGAAGAAGGCCUUUUGGUUGUAAAGCACUUUAAGCGAGGAGGAGGCUACUCUAGUUAAUACCUAGAGCUAGUGGACGUUACUCGCAGAAUAAGCACCGGCUAACUCUGUGCCAGCAGCCGCGGUAAUACAGAGGGUGCGAGCGUUAAUCGGAUUUACUGGGCGUAAAGCGUGCGUAGGUGGCCAAUUAAGUCAAAUGUGAAAUCCCCGAGCUUAACUUGGGAAUUGCAUUCGAUACUGGUUGGCUAGAGUAUGGGAGAGGAUGGUAGAAUUCCAGGUGUAGCGGUGAAAUGCGUAGAGAUCUGGAGG